rnacentral:rRNA from 1 species
AGGGCACCACCAGGAGUGGAGCCUGCGGCUUAAUUUGACUCAACACGGGGAAACUCACCCGGCCCGGACACCGUAAGGAUUGACAGAUUGAUAGCUUUUUCAUGAUUCGGCGGAUGGCGGUGCAUGGCCGUUCUUAGUUCGUGGAGCGAUUUGUCUGGUUUAUUCCGAUAACGAGCGAGACUCUAGCCUACUAAAUAGUUCGCACAUUGUCUCUGUGUGUGUGACUUCUUAGAGGGAUUUUCGGUGUUCAGCCGCACGAAAUUGAGCAAUGACAGGUCUGUGAUGCCCUUAGAUGUCCGGGGCUGCACGCGCGCUACACUGGCAAAAUCAGCGUGCUUGUCCUUCCCCGAAAGGGGUUGGUAAACCCUUGAAAAUUUGCCGUGAUUGGGAUUGGAAAUUGCAAUUAUUUUCCAUGAACGAGGAAUUCCAAGUAAGUGCGAGUCAUCAGCUCGCGUUGAUUACGUCCCUGCCCUUUGUACACACCGCCCGUCGCUGCCCGGGACUGAGCCAUUUCGAGAA